rnacentral:rRNA from 1 species
AGUCACUGACGUAGUUUGAUCCUGGCUCAGAACGAACGCUGGCGGCAGGCCUAACACAUGCAAGUCGAACGAACCCUUCGGGGUGAGUGGCGCACGGGUGCGUAACACGUGGGAAUAUACACAUAGGUAAGGAAUAACUCAGGGAAACUUGCGCUAAUACCUUAUAAUAACUCCGGUUCAAAGAUUUAUCGCCUAUGGAUUAGCCCGCGCUAGAUUAGUUUGUUGGUGAGGUAAGAGCUCACCAAGACUACGAUCUAUAGCUGGUCUUAGAGGAUGAUCAGCCACACUGGAACUGAGACACGGUCCAGACUCCUACGGGAGGCAGCAGUGAGGAAUAUUGCGCAAUGGAGGAAACUCUGACGCAGCCAUGCCGCGUGAAUGAAGAAGGCCUUAGGGUUGUAAAAUUCUUUCAGAUGCGAAGAUAAUGACGGUACCAUCAGAAGAAGCUCCGGCUAAAUUCGUG